rnacentral:rRNA from 1 species
GACGUAGGGGGCAAGCGUUAUUCGGAAUUAUUGGGCGUAAAGAGCUCGUAGGCGGUCUGUCACGUCGGCUGUGAAAACCCCGGGGCUCAACCCCGGGCCUGCAGUCGAUACGGGCAGACUAGAGUGCGGUAGGGGAGACUGGAAUUCCUGGUGUAGCGGUGAAAUGCGCAGAUAUCAGGAGGAACACCGGUGGCGAAGGCGGGUCUCUGGGCCGAUACUGACGCUGAGGAGCGAAAGCGUGGGGAGCGAACAGG